CGGACGGGGGAGUAAUGUCUGGGAAACUGCCCGAUGGAGGGGGGUAACUACUGGAAACGGUAGCUAAUACCGCAUAACGUCGCAAGACCAAAGAGGGGGACCUUAGGGCCUCUUGCCAUCGGAUGUGCCCAGAUGGGAUUAGCUAGUAGGUGGGGUAACGGCUCACCUAGGCGACGAUCCCUAGCUGGUCUGAGAGGAUGACCAGCCACACUGGAACUGAGACACGGUCCAG
rnacentral:rRNA from 1 species